CUAUUUACUCUCUCCUCUCUCAUCUCCCCCUUUACAUCUCGUUUCCCUCAUCUCCAAAAUCAACUCCUCUGUUACAAACUCCCCAAAAUCAAGCUUUAUAAAAUUAGUCAUAAUCGAUCAAUUCCUUUUGUUAGAAACUCUCCAAAAUCAACCUUUGGAAAAUGAUUUCAAGAUCUUCGAACAACAGGGAGGUGCCAGCGAUGAAACCUCCGACAAACAACACCCACCUAAACCUCCUCUACACACCUCCUUUCGUAAACCCACCUCACGACUCCCUUCUUCCUCAAGUAAACGACCGGCCACCACCAUCUGGUGGUGGCGUACGGCGGCGAAAACACAGUGUAGAGAGAGAGAGAGAGGAACCGUGGAGAGAGAAAGCUGAGUUGGAGAGAGUGGCCGCGGCGGUGGUGCACGUCGAAGCAGCGACGGCGGAAUAUCUGUGGUGGCCGGUGGGUGACGUCGAAGCAGCGACGGCGGAAUAACGACUGCUUUAUCUGUGGUGGCCGGUGGGUGACGUCAAAGCAGCGGCGGCGGCGCAGUGGUGGUCGAGCAGUUCGGGCCAGCAAUGGUGAAAUAAAGAUGACGAUGGUGACUGGCUUGGCAACGGUUGAUGCUCGGUUCGAGGAUUAUCGGUGGUGGUUCCGACGGCAGCGGCGGACCGUCGGGACUCAACGAUUUUUCUGAAGAUUAUUCAUUUAAUUGAGCAUCCAUGUGCAAUGGUGAUAUACGGUGGUGGUUUUUUGAAAUUAAAGUACGUUUGUUGGUAUGUUGGAGUUUUUACAAGGCUAUUUUCUAAGUUUUGAAAUGAUGGACCAACAUCUAUUGGAUAUGCUUGUUUUUUUUUAUUU